rnacentral:rRNA from 1 species
AACGUAGGAGACAAACGUUAUCCGGAGUUACUGGGCGUAAAGGGCGUGUAGGUGGUUUCGUAAGUCUGGCGUGAAAUUUUUCGGCUUAACCGGGAAAGGUCGUCGGAUACUGCGGGACUGGAGGACGGUAGAGGCGUGUGGAAUUCCGGGUGUAGUGGUGAAAUGCGUAGAGAUCCGGAGGAACACCAGUGGCGAAGGCGACACGCUGGCCGUACCUGACACUGAUGCGCGACAGCAUGGGGAGCAAACAGG